rnacentral:rRNA from 1 species
ACGGGUGAGUAACGCGUGGGUAACUACCCUUUGGUACGGAAUAACACAGAGAAAUUUGUGCUAAUACCGUAUGUGUCCUUCGGGAGGAAGAUUUAUCGCCAAGGGAUGUGCCCGCGUCGGAUUAGCUAGUUGGUGAGGUAACGGCCCACCAAGGCGACGAUCCGUAGCUGGUCUGAGAGGAUGAUCAGCCACAUUGGGACUGAGACACGGCCCAAACUCCUACGGGAGGCAGCAGUGGGGAAUAUUGGACAAUGGGCGCAAGCCUGAUCCAGCCAUGCCGCGUGAGUGAUGAAGGCCUUAGGGUUGUAAAGCUCUUUCGCUCGCGAGGAUAAUGACGGUAGCGAGAGAAGAAGCCCCGGCUAACUUCGUGCCAGCAGCCGCGGUAAUACGAAGGGGGCUAGCGUUGUUCGGAAUCACUGGGCGUAAAGCGCUCGUAGGCGGAUAUUUAAGUCAGAGGUGAAAGCCUGGAGCUCAACUCCAGAACUGCCUUUGAUACUGGGUAUCUUGAGUCCGGUAGAGGUGAGUGGAACUGCUAGU